UGUCGGGAAAGCCGGAUCCGAGCCGGGAUGCGGACAAAGACACGGAGCAGCUGUUCGGGAAUAAAGCUGAAAUAGUAGAACCUGGGAGAGAAGUUAGCUUGGGGGAGCUAUUAUUUUCGCCGCAAAACCCUCGGGAGGUAUUAAACAGCUGCAUCCAAACGACGGAGCGACCCAAAGGCCGGGAUCCCACCGCCUCGCCGUCGAGCAGCGGGCGCGUGGCUCAGCGCACGGCCGCAGGUUCCUCUGCAAAGAGCAGCGUAGCACAGCGGUUGGGAGCGCUGUGCUGGACAGAGGACGGCCGGCCGCGAGCGGAGCCUCCCACCGGCGAGCAUUGCCAGGCGGAGAGAGAAAACCUGGGCAGCCUUAAAACGCUCAGAGUGUAAUGUGACGCUUCCAAACCUUUGCAGCCUGCGGGUGAAAGUCUGCUCGAGGAGCCUGAAGACGCACCAUCCCCACUUAUCGCCCCAGAGGCAGACUAUCUAGCUGACAAGCUGUGCGGUGAAAAACCAGAUACCCAUAUGCCCGCUGCUCAACCAGGGCCCAGAAGGGAUCAGCUGCUCAUUUUGCAGAGCAAAGUAAGAUGGC